rnacentral:tRNA from 1 species
GGGGUUGUGGCUCAGUGGUAGAGCACUUGCCUUGCACGUAUGAAGCACUGGGUUUGAUCCUCAGCACCACA